rnacentral:tRNA from 1 species
GCCCAUUUGGCUCAGUGGAUAGAGCGUUGGCCUGUGGACCAAAGGGUCCCUGGUUCAAUUCCAGUCAAGGGCC